rnacentral:misc_RNA from 1 species
AAGUCGUAACAAGGUCUCCGUUGGUGAACCAGCGGAGGGAUCAUUGCUGGAACGCCGCCCAGGCCGCAGACCCCUAGAAACCCAUUUUGUGCAAUCUUAUACCUUUCACGUGUUGCCUCGGCGCUAGGCUGGCUUCCGCUUCGGGCCCCUCACCUGCGGUGUUGAGACGGCCCGCCGGCGGCCAACCUAACUCUUGUUUUUACACUGAAACUCUGAGAAUAAAACAUAAAUGAAUCAAAA